UACCAGCCGGGGGAGUAGCGGAGCCCUGAACCUGAAAUCCGCUGUAGCAGGGGUGGAUUCCUCUUCUGAGGGACGAUCCUUGGCGAAUGAAGCGUUGUCGCUGUGUUGAGAAAUGGGUCUUGCGCAAUCGGAAGCUGUGAAUCAUGUCAGGUGGGGAACCAAGCAGCAUUAAGCAGUCAACCCGAUGUGCCGCGAGGAAGCCUGUUUUGAGCAGAGGCAACGAAGCUCGCGCGGAG
rnacentral:SRP_RNA from 2 species